AGCCUGUAUCAUAUCUCUGGCUAAAUCACAAACACCCUAGGUGCAAUUUUAUGAGCUCAACACUAUUCAAUCACAUAUCACAUCAUUGACAAUUCACAUAAUCAAAACAUAACUCAUCUGAGCUUACCUGGGCCUCCACAGCACCAUGCGACAAUAUGCAUAAUUAUGAUAAUGCAUAUACUAAAAUAAAAUAUAGGCAUUAGCAUAGCAUGGCAUUUAAAUCACAUUUCCUUUCAAUACAUUUUCUGGGAAAAACGUCAAGUAUAUAUAUAUAUAUAUAUAUAUACUAAAAAUAACUGCCCACUCACAGAUAUGUCAAUGGGUCGUAGCCCCCGAGCCUCGAUUGAUUACGCACGUCCUGAGAAUAGGUCUCACCUAUAGGUGUAAUAACCGAAUAAACGCUAUUUAACGCACAUAACCAACAAUAGGUAAAAACUUCUCAUAUAUUGCUCAAUUUGGGUAUAUGAAUAUACCACAGUGACGUACACAACCUCAAGAUCAUCACCAAAUUUUAAGAAUAUUUUUCCUAGCUCCCACACGCCGGCCAAGGCACUGGCAUAUGCCCCUCCCCACGCGCGGCCAUGUGCCAGGCACACUGACGCCGUCAGGUAUAUUUCGUUUAUUCCUUAACAAAACUUAACGGCGUGACCUAACGUCGUUAGAAUAUCCUCUCGUUUUUUACCUUCAGCUCCGGCGAUCGUCGCCGUCGCCAUAAACUGGGAAAUUUUGAUUUCCUUAUAUCUUCUUCAUUUUUAACCUAAAAUUUAUGAAACUUGAAUCAUUUUAGAGAUCUCACAACAACGAACAAAACCAUACCUGAUUCGAGCUCUGAAACCACCGGAAUCCUGCCGAAAAAAGCUUCGAUAAUCCGUCAAACCUUAAAACUCGUCGUUCUCACGAUUUCGACGUCCAAUUUCUUCAAACGAAGUACUCCGAGCUUCGUAAGGACCUCCUUAAGCUCCAUAUGCCCUUUAAAUUCCCUAAAAAUCAACAUUUUACGUGAGCAUGAAUAGUACCCCAAAUCGAGUUUUGUGGUUCGACGUGAAAUCGAAGGUAAUCUUACCAGUAAUUGGUACAUUUGAACUCGUGAGGAUCUUAGGAACACAAUGGUACCAUUUUUCUUCUUCAAUCUGUCACGUUUACAAGGGUUUCUGGUUGUGUCCGUACAAGAGAGGAAGAGAGGGAGAGUGUGAGUCUGAGAGAGAGAGGGCACGAGAGUGAGAGAGAAAGUGAGGUGUAGUGUGUGGACCAAAUCUCUCCAACCAAUCAAAAUUUAGUCUUUCUUAGUUCCUAAGUGGUUCCAAAAACUUAGGAAAUCAUAAUUAAAUCCAACUUAAAUACAAGUCAUACACCACACAACUUAACGUCCAAGGGUAAACUAGUAAUUUCACGUAAACGGAAAUUAUUUUCCGGAACGGGCUAUCACAAUCUACCCACCUUAUAGAAUUUCAUCCUCGAAAUUUACAUAAUCCAUCUAAUUCAUUAGUAACCAUAAAACAACCUUGGAUACAUCUCUCAUUCGAUCGUCGGACUCUCACAUAGCUUCUUCCACUAAAUGAUAUCUCUAGAAAAGUUUUACCAAGUACACUGUCUCAUUUCUGAGGACUUUUUCUCUUUCCAUUCCAAUGUAGUCACUGGUUCCUCACCAUAAGUCAAGUCCAGAUUAAUCUCCAAGGGCUGAACCAGAAUCACAUGCGACGAAUCUGCUACAUAGUAACGAAGCAUCGAAACAUAAAAUACAUCAAGCACUUCCGACAACUCUGAAGGCAACUCAAGUCUAUAAGUAACUUCACAGACUGGCUCGGUGAUCACAUAAGGUCCGAUGUACUUAGGACUUAACUUGUCUUCCAUUUCAAACUGAAUCAUGCCUUUCCAAGGUGAUAAUUUCAAAAACAUCCAAUCACCUACAUUACAUGCCCGGUCAGUGGCCUGUUUGUCUGCUAAGCUCUUCUGUCGAUCUUGGACCACUUUCAGGUUAUACUUAAAUACUUGAAUAUUCUGAGUAGUCUCCUCCACUAACUCAGGGCCUUAAAUUUUCAAACCGUUCGUGGUUGAACGUUUGCUCCCCAAAAUACCUUCCGUUCACAAUCUAAAAAUUUCGAAACACAUGACACAACUUUCAUGGGCCUUAUGGUGUUACUUUUGGGAAACUGACGUAACCAACAUGCCCAAGAAGUUCAACAGAUCCGUAAGCCCAAAUCUCUUUUCCAUAAAACAGAUAAAUAACUGUUGUACUUCUGGAAAGGUUACUGUUCCUUUAUUGAAAAAAAAAUAACGCGGCUGACUUAGUAAGUUAAUCAACUAUCACCCAAAUUUCAACGUAACCAUUUUGUGUACGAGGAAGCUUGUACAUGAAAUCCAUCAUAAUAUUUUUCCGUUUCCACUAUGGAACGAGAUCAAACCAAAAAGUUUCUUCCUUUUAGCUUUAACUUGUUGACAAUUGGCACACUUACUAACAUAUUCAGCAAUUUUCCUUUUCAUACCGGCCCAAUAAUAAAAUGGUCGAUUGGCAUGACACAUUUCAAUAUCUCUAAUAUGCAUUGCAUACGCUAGAUUAUGUGCUUCAUCCAAAUGUGCUUUCUUAAUUCCACAUCAUUAGGCACAUACAUCCUGUUCCCUUGCAUAAGCAUGACAUCUGAUUCUCCAAUUCUGAGAUCUUCUUUUUCCUGUCGUUUCUUGUCUCGAUUAACUCUUGAAUUUCUUCCUCAAUCCUCUGGGUAUUGAGUAUAUGAUCCACUAAAAUUGGCAUGACCUAUAAAUUAGCCAAUAGAGCUUCUUCUCGUUUUUUUCACCUUAAGCUUUACUCCAGUAGAUCUCAAUCCGCAAUAAGAGAAACAUGGCAAGCAUAUCAAGCAUUAAUUCUCACUAGAGUCUUCGUACUAAGUGCAUCAACAACAUUCGCACGAUCACCCUGGUCGUGCAAUCAAAAUCACUAAGCAACCCAUCCAUCUUCGUUGCCGAAGAUUAAGAUCUUUCUAAAUAAAUAUAUUGGAGACUCUUAUGAUCCGUAAAAACCUUGCACUUUUCACCUUAAAGGUAAUGUCUCCAAAUCUUCAAGGCAAUAUAAUGGCUGCUAAUUCCAAAUCAUCAGUAGGGUAAUUCAUCUCAAGGGGUUUGAAUUGCCGUGAAGCAUAAGCAAUCACUCAACCAUGUUGCAUCAACACACAUCCAAGACCAUUCAACGAGGCAUCACUGUAGACCACAAAAUUACCACUAUCAUUUGGGAGUGCUAAAACAGGUGUAUGUGUAAGAUAAUACUUCAGCUGCUGACAACUUGCUCACAAUUUUCAUCUCACUCAACCUUAAUCUCUUCCUCGUCAAUCUCGUUACUGGCAAGGCAAUGACUAAAAAAUUCCUUAACAACCGUCUAUAGUAGCCUACUAAGCCAACAAGCUUCAUACCUUAGUCACGGUUCGCGGUUGUUCCAAAUCCUCCACCGCUGUUACCUUUUAUGAAUCCACUUGAAUACCUUGAGUGGAUAUCACAUGUCUUGAUUCAUCCAACAUUGGCAUUUACUAAACUUGGCAUACAACCGAUGUUCUCUUAAUUUCUUUAAUACCAAGUUAAAAUGUCGAACAUGGUCUGCUUUCGACUUAGAGUAUACUAGAAUAUCGUCAAUGAAAACAAUAACAACCUGUCUAGACAUUGUUGGAAUAUUUGAUUCAUCAAAUCUAUGAAAACAAUAGGCACAUUCGUCCCUUCGAAUGGCAUCACCAAAAACUCAUAAAGACCCCAACGAGUCCUAAUAUCAGUCUUAGGAACAUCCUCACUGUUAAACUUCAACUUAUAAUAACCAGACCUCACAUCAAUCUUUGAAAACACACAGGCACUUCUAAGCUAUUCCAAUAGUCAACAAAGCACGGCAAUGGAUAACGGUUCUCAAUAGUUACCCGAUUCAAUAGCCUAUAAUCAAUGAUAGCCUUAAUGUCCCGUCUUUCUUUCUCACAAUAAAAUUGGGGCUCCCCAAGGUGACGUGCUAGGUUAAAUGGAACCUUUAUCAACCAAUUCCUGCAACUAAAGUUUCAAUUCUCUCAACUUAGCAUGAGCUAUUCUUUAAUAUAAGAUCUGUACUUGGAAAUAAAUCAAUAACAAACUCCACAACUUUGUAUGGCGGCAAUCUAGGUAACUCAUCCGGAAUUACACCAAUAAAAUGUCUAACCACCUUUACAUUUUCCACACUACUCAGAGUAAUAUCAUUUAGCACUACAUGAGCUAAAUAUCCUUGGCAGCUUUUUGAUAACAAUCUCUUUGCUCUUACAAUAGAAUAAUGGCAUACCUCAUUCUACUUUGCUCACCCACAAAAGUAAUCUCUGGUGAUCCAAGACAAUGGAAAGUAACUGAUUUCCCGUAGCACUCAAUAUUGGCACGAUCAUAAUGCAACCAAUCUGUGCCUAGAAUAACAUCGAAAUCCACAUAUCUAAAGGGAUAAGAUUUGCUGACAUAACUAUAUCUUCCACCAUCACCGGACAUCCUGAAAGCAUAAUACUAACAUAGAAUGACUUACCUGUUACUUGCUUAACGAAUCCAACGCAUAAGUUAUUAAUAUUACGGUCUGCAACCCGUAAUACUGAUAACUCACUGUUGUCUUGAUAAGUAAGUAACAAUUCCCGAUGGUGCAAUAUUACCAUCUUAUACUUCAUUGGGAAAUACAUAUGCACGCUACACUCAUGCUCAUUCACUACUUCCUUUGGUAACAUUGCCCAUAACCUAAGAUUUCUGCAUCACAACCAAUGAUCUCUAGCAAAGUGACCAAAAUGAUUAACGUACCCAUAAUCAAGUGCGAAUGAUUCUGAGCAUCUUGCAGUGAUAUGUGAUUAACAUGUCAUUAGCUUGUUGUCGUCCCUUACGACCUCUAUUAGCUCGAUUACUUCACCCCUGCACACCACAUCUUAACUGACCACAACUACUAGAUCCAGGAACCUGCCAGAUCGGCACUAGUGGUGGCAAAGAAGACUGUUAGUCAUCUAUUGAUUGUAGGGACAAUUUGCAGCUCUAUGUCCCAUUGUCCACAUGUAAAACAUCCACUGCUUCUUCGUCUACACACUCAAAAGUGUCUAUUAUUGUACCUACGGCACAGAGUACAUUUCCUUUACCAAUAUCUCCCUGCCUCCGGGAUCUGGGACCUCCAGUGAAUCUAUCACCUCUUCUCAAACCAGCAGUACUAAACUUCCGCUAGAAAAACUAGAAUUAGCUCCACUUCCUUUUGAAGCUCUGAGUUUUACGAAGUUCUUGAGAUGACUGACCUUAACCUUGGUCAUCUUUCCUCUAAUUCCCAUUCUUUUUCUCUUCUUCAUCACUAUCAAUGAACAUAUUCUCUUUAACCCUUAACAAUAUCUCAUAAAACUCGUGGUAAAAAGCACAAUGGGUAGUGGUCGCCAAAGAACGCCACUUCUUCUUAUUACCCAGCUUAAAAUGACGUAACAUCUCAACAGGAUUAGCAGCAACAUCCGAAUGGUAACGAGACAAGUCAAUAAACCUUUUAUAAUGCUCAUUUGUCGUCAUAUUUACUUGUCUCAAUUUGUAAACUCUUGCUUCUUAUCAUUCGUAUGUGCUGGAGGAAUAAAUCUUUUCUUAACAAUUCUUUAAACAAUUCUCAAUCAGCAAUUUCCUCUGGCAUUAAUUGAUGAACCUCAUGUCCUUACCAGGAUGCAGAUUCAGUACUAAAAAACCAAGUAGUUGUCUUAAUCCACCUUUCAAAAAGAAGAUUCCCUUGACUUUGCAUAACGCGGAUCAUCCUUUCCAAAUGAUUGAGCCAUCGCUCUGCUCCCUCAGGUCCUUCAUUUUCCAUAAAGUGAUUCAGUUUCAGCUUAUAACAAGUCUCAAGAAGAUUCCUUUGAGAAUGAUGGAUAAUAGACUGAAUCACCUUAACAAUAGCUUCCCAUAACUGAGCUAUAUCAGAGAAACUAGGCUCAUCUGAACGACGUGGCUCUCUAUGAGGCAGUAUAGUUCUAACAGAAGACACUAGGAAAUUCUAAAGAUAUAUAAGACUGCAACUUAGGCUCUAAUACCAAACUGACACACCCCGACCGGAGUCGAGACGUGUUGGCCGUCACGUGAGAGUGACGUAGCCAUGAGCGCAAAGCGGAAACGAUAAAGAGUAAGAGAAAUACUAACAAUUUAAAACCAAGCGACUAACAAUCCCCAAUCCCAAUUAGGAAAGGAUACUAGUGAAGUUUAAGUGUAUAAAUACACUUUCAGAGCAAUAAGAAGUCUAGUUACAGUCAAAUAAGACAAUUACUAAAUUACAACACCAGAAGGUGAAUCCUACUUUUUCGGGAUCUGUUAGAACACUGUUGAAUUCCUCGUGGCCACCAAACUCUGCUAACUAAAACCUGGAGGGGCGACAAACAAAGUUGAGUGGGUCAGUAAAACACAUUUACAUAAAAACCUUAUUUUCCUUUGAAUAUACUAACCCCUCGUCGUAAAACAAGUAUAAUUUUUCCCAGAAUUAAUAUAUAAGAAUAUACAUAAAUAUAUAUGUGUAAUUAUAUCAUUUCAAUCAUGCUUCACAUAAUCAUAAACAUAUGUAUGCCAAGCCACGAUAUAAUAGAGUAGCAAAUCGUAAGAAUAAUUUCAUAGAAAUAUAACAUGUUAGCCGGAACGCCUGAGGUAGUCUAUACGGCUGAAUUUCAUAGCUCAAAAGUCACUCUAGCCAAAGUCCCUACAAUGACCUAUAUGGCAACAUACUGCACAAUAGUCGGAACCAAAUGCAAGGGUCUAUACGACGAUAAUGGGUGUAAUAUAAUUAUGCUCAAUACUCCUCUCACAUAAUAGCCGGGCGAUAAAUCGCUAGUCACCUACGAGUCGGAACCAUAAAUAAGGUCUGUACGACAAAACUGUGCACCUAAAUUGGAUCCAAUGUGAGCAUAUGGUGCGGGAGGUGACAUAAUAAACAUGCCUGUAUCAUAUCUCUGGCUAAAUCACAAACACCCUAGGUGCAGUUUUAUGAGCUCAACAUUAUUCAAUCACAUAUCACAUCAUUGACAAUUCACAUAAUCAAAACAUAACUCAUCUGAGCUUACCUGGGCCUCCACAGCACCAUGCGACAAUAUGCAUAAUUAUGAUAAUGCAUAUACUAAAAUAAAAUAUAGGCAUUGGCAUAGCAUGACAUUUAAAUCACAUUU
rnacentral:lncRNA from 1 species